rnacentral:rRNA from 1 species
AACGAACGCUGGCGGCAUGCCUAACACAUGCAAGUCGAACGAAGGCUUCGGCCUUAGUGGCGCACGGGUGCGUAACGCGUGGGAAUCUGCCCUUGGGUUCGGAAUAACGUCGGGAAACUGACGCUAAUACCGGAUGAUGACGUAAGUCCAAAGAUUUAUCGCCCAAGGAUGAGCCCGCGUCGGAUUAGCUAGUUGGUGAGGUAAAAGCACACCAAGGCGACGAUCCGUAGCUGGUCUGAGAGGAUGAUCAGCCACACUGGGACUGAGACACGGCCCAGACUCCUACGGGAGGCAGCAGUGGGGAAUAUUGGACAAUGGGCGGAAGCCUGAUGCAGCAACGCCGCGUGCGGGAUGACGGCCUUCGGGUUGUAAACCGCUUUCGCCUGUGACGAAGCGUGAGUGACGGUAAUGGGUAAAGAAGCACCGGCUAACUACGUG